rnacentral:rRNA from 1 species
UACGUAGGGUGCAAGCGUUUAAUCGGAAUUACUGGGCGUAAAGCGUGCGCAGGCGGUUGUGCAAGACAGAUGUGAAAUCCCCCGGGCUUAACCUGGGAAUUGCAUUUGUGACUGCACAGCUAGAGUGUGUCAGAGGGGGGUAGAAUUCCACGUGUAGCAGUGAAAUGCGUAGAUAUGUGGAGGAAUACCGAUGGCGAAGGCCAGCCCCCUGGGAUAACACUGACGCUCAUGCACGAAAGCGUGGGGAGCAAACAGG